rnacentral:rRNA from 1 species
GACGAACGCUGGCGGCGUGCUUAACACAUGCAAGUCGAACGGAAAGGCCCUGCUUUUGUGGGGUGCUCGAGUGGCGAACGGGUGAGUAACACGGGAGUAACCUGCCCUUGACUUUGGGAUAACUUCAGGAAACUGGGGCUAAUACCGGAUAGGAGCUCCUGCUGCAUGGUGGGGGUUGGAAAGUUUCGGCGGUUGGGGAUGGACUCGCGGCUUAUCAGCUUGUUGGUGGGGUAGUGGCUUACCAAGGCUUGGACGGGUAGCCGGCCUGAGAGGGUGACCGGCAACUUUGGGACUGGGAUACGGCCCAGACUCCUACGGGGGGCAGCAGUGGGGAAUAUUGCACAGUGGGCGGAAGCCUGAUGCAGCAACGCCGCGUGCGGGAUGACGGCCUUCGGUUUGUAAACCGCUUUCGCCUGUGACGAAGCGUGAGUGACGGUAAUGGGUAAAGAAGCACCGGCUAACUACGUG